UUUAAUGUUCUUACGUAUUCUAUUUAAUAUUGUAUUUCUUGUGUCCAAUACAGUUUAUGGCCAUUGUAUACAUAUGCACUAAGUAAAUGUUACUAAACGGCUGGCUGCAUGAGUGACUGCAUGAAUAAAUAACUGUAUGAAUAGCUUGAAGGAGAAAGAGAAAGUCUUCAGGCCCAGCGAAAUGAUGAGAGAGAAAAGAGGGAGAGAAUGAUUCUCAUACCGACGGUUUUAAAUGUGCAAUAACUUUAUGAUUCUUGAGUGAAACUGGCUAUCAAAAUCAGUCCCAACUCAAUACCAUCUGAAAAAGAAGAUCAUUCUUGGAAUAAGAGCCCUUUCGGUCGGAUGUGUCAGAGCCAAUCACAGGCUCCGGGGUCCCGUGGUGACUGCCGGCCGCCACAUACGCAGUGGCAGAAGGAGCAUGUCUCCUCACUCCUGAUAUGCCUGGCCUCAUGCUACCUGCAGCCCCUUUGCCGUCUUUUCCUGCCUUGGCUACUGAAAGCAACGUCUCCUGGCACCACAGAAUAUGCAAGGUGAUUUCUCUGCCUUUUCACUUAUGGCAGAAACGCCUUAUGAUAGCACCUUUUUUAUCGUCAUUCCUGUCUUUUUUUGAUGCAUGUGGUGAGGGAGAACAGUCAAAUAAGAAGCCUUUGGAGAAACUUACAAAGGAGCUGUGUGUCAUGGCAGAGAUGGCUGAUUGCAAUGAUUUAACUGUGAGCCUUUGUAUCCACCCUCAUGCUCUUACUCACUCUCACAUCCUCAUACUUCCACAUCCUGAGCCCCAAAAUGACUUUCUUUCUUUUUUCUCUGGGAACGGAGCCUGGGUCUGGACCAGGGAGUGGCCAGCCACAAAGAGAAUAUUUUGGAGGUGUAUCCGGUCCUCACAGUGGUGUGAAAAUAACAGCAGAUGUCAACAGGAGUUGAAAGGCUGUUGGGGACUUUCAUGGAAGAAAGACUGAGGACGUCUUGGAGGAUUCUUUAACCCCUCACCCAUAAUGAUGGUACAAAAAUUGUCAGAAUCAUGCAGAGAGUUUGACGGGAGCUCUGACAGGUGAACUCAAGGUGGCAGGUGAACUUGAGGAGUGCAUAUUGACUUAGCAAGUAGCCUCAUCGGAGUUUGUUAGAAGCAGAAAAAACAUGGGACUUUCUCAUGGACUACAUGUAGAGUCAUGCAGGAAAUAAUGUUGUGUUGGGUUGUUUUAGACUCAGUACAGAGAAGGCUGGCUUAAGGAAAUCUCAGAAGAUAGAAGCCAAAAAAUGUUCAAGGGCUUUGGAAAGAGCAAGCAACCAGACAGAAUAGAGAUAGAUCAAUGAAAUAGCAAGUAGGAGGAGCAUGUUUCCCAAAGUACUCAUGAAAGCGCCCAUGAGAAAAAGCUUCUCGUAAAUGUCUAGGAAUGUAAAGCAAUAUCCCAAGAAUACCAGUCAAAUAUGAAUUUUCUGGCAUCUCAUAAGUAUCUUUUCUUCUAUUUCUCCAAAUCUAGAGGGAUCACAGACCUCAGGAAACAAGCUGGGGAAAGAAGAACAAAGAAAGAAAGAAAAAGCCCUAGCUCGGAUUGGAGAGAAAAUAAUUUUAAUCAAGUUUGGAAUUGCAAUUAUUACAUGGACUGGAUUUUUAAUAACCUAAGAGUAAUGAGAAAUGUCAUGAGAACACUGAGUUCUCAUCAAGGGCAGGAAAAGAACUUGCCACACUGAAUAUAUUUUUAAAGAGCAGUGAGAGUCAAAAUUAAGAUGCCUCAUGAUCAUAUCCCAGUAAUUCGGUUUGUCCAACCUACCAGUGCCAUUAGUUAUUUGUAUAUUUUAAGCCUUUUUGCCUGAAUUACCCAAAUUAUUGUCUCAAUUCCUCCUCACUUUACCUGUAGAAAUGUAAACUGAAGAUUUUGCUAUUUCAUUGUUUCACUUCUAGGAAUUUUUUUUAAAUAACAGUAUAAUAAGUUGG
ensembl:lincRNA